UUUUUAAAAAGGCAAAGGAGGGGCGUCUCCCCGCAACCUCCUUAACUUCCCUAGUCAGUGACGCAGCGCCCGCAGAAAUCCGAAGGAACUGGGGUCGAGGGAGGGUGAGUUGCAGUUAAAAGAAGAUGGAUGCACACAGUUCAACCAAAAUCAAUGCAAGGAAGAGGAGGAAAGAGGCACCUGGACCCAAUGGGGCAACAGAGGAAGAUGGAAUUCCUUCAAAAGUGCAACGCUGUGCAGUUGGCUUACGGCAGCCAGCUCCAUUUUCUGAUGAAAUUGAAGUUGACCUUAGUAAGCCCUGUGUCAGGGUAACUAUGGAAGAAGCCAGGAAAAGAACUCCUUGUGAGCGGCCUGUGAGAGUCCAUGCAGAUGGAAUAUUUGACUUAUUUCACUCUGGUCAUGCCCGGCCUCUGAUGCAAGCAAAGAACCUUUUCCCCAAUACAUACCUCAUUGUGGGAGUCUGCAGUGAUGAGCUAACACAACUUCAAAGGCUUCACGGUGAUGAAUGAAAAUGAGCGCUAUGAUGCAGUGCAGCACUGCCACUACGUGGAUGAGGUGGUGAGGAAUGCCCCCUGGACCCUGACACCCGAGUUCCUGGCAGAACACCGGAUUGAUUUUGUAGCCCAUGAUGAUAUCCCUUAUUCUUCUGCUGGGAGUGAUGAUGUUUAUAAGCACAUCAAGGAAGCAGGCAUGUUUGCUCCAACACAGAGGACAGAAGGUAUCUCCACAUCAGACAUUAUCACCCGGAUUGUCCGGGACUAUGAUGUGUAUGCGAGACGGAACCUACAGAGAGGAUACACAGCAAAGGAGCUCAAUGUCAGCUUUAUCAAUGAGAAGAAAUACCACUUGCAGGAGAGGGUUGACAAGGUAAAGAAGAAAGUGAAAGAUGUGGAGGAAAAGUCAAAAGAAUUUGUUCAGAAGGUGGAGGAAAAAAGCAUUGACCUCAUUCAGAAAUGGGAGGAGAAGUCUCGAGAAUUCAUUGGAAGUUUCCUGGAAAUGUUUGGUCCAGAAGGAGCGCUGAAACAUAUGCUGAAAGAGGGAAAAGGUCGGAUGCUGCAGGCCAUCAGUCCAAAGCAGAGUCCCAGCAGCAGCCCUACUAGGGAACGCUCUCCCUCCCUCUCUUUCUGAUGGCCCUUCUCUGGCAAGACUUCCCCAUCCUCCUCCCCAGCAAAUCUCUCCAGGCACAAGGCUGCAGCUUAUGAUCUCCGUGAGGAUGAAGAAGACUAACUUUUCAUCCCUCCUUUCCUGUCCCCUCCCUCUGUCUCAUCACCUUCAGAAGCUCUCUGUUGAAUUCCAAAUUGUGAUCCCAACACUAAACCUAAGAACAACUACAAAGGAAAGAAUUGGAGCAAGAGGACCUAGAAAUGGGGGAACCAAAACAGCCUAUCCUCCAAGAGAUACCAAUCACCCACACCAAGAAGGAGACUGACUAUAGCUUAGAAGCCUGUUCUGCAUCCAUCUGCCCUCCCCAAGGACUUUGUUUUACUAUUAUGUUCAUGUGAUCUUGACA